rnacentral:rRNA from 1 species
GGGAUUGCCCUAGUAACGGCGAGUGAAGCGGCAACAGCUCAAAUUUGAAAUCUGGCGCAAGCCCGAGUUGUUAUUUGUAGAGGAUGCUUCUGGGUAGCGACCGAUCUAAGUUCCUUGGAACAGGACGUCAUAGAGGGUGAGAAUCCCGUAUGUGACCGGCCCGCACCCUUUACGUAGCUCCUUCGACGAGUCGAGUUGUUUGGGAAUGCAGCUCUAAAUGGGAGGUAAAUUUCUUCUAAAGCUAAAUACCGGCCAGAGACCGAUAGCGCACAAGUAGAGUGAUCGAAAGAUGAAAAGUACUUUGGAAAGAGAGUUAAAAAGCACGUGAAAUUGUUGAAAGGGAAGCGCCUGCAACCAGACUUCGCGGCAGUGUUCCGCCGGUCUUCUGACCGGUUCAUUCUCUGUCGCGAGGCCAUCAUCGUCUGGGCCCGCCGGAUAAGACCUUAGGAAUGUAGCUCACCUUCGGGGGAGUGUUAUAGCCUAGGGUGAUGCGGCGAGGCUCGGGCGAGGUCCGCGCUUCGGCAAGGAUGAUGGCGUAAUGGUUGUCGGCGGCCCGUCUUGAAACACGGACCAAGGAGUCUAACAUCUAUGCGAGUGUUCGGGUGUCAAACCCCUACGCGUAAUGAAAGUGAACGGAGGUGGGAACCGCAAGGUGCACCAUCGACCGAUCCUGAUGUCCUCGGAUGGAUUUGAGUAAGAGCAUAGCUGUUGGGACCCGAAAGAUGGUGAACUAUGCCUGAAUAGGGUGAAGCCAGAGGAAACUCUGGUGGAGGCUCGCAGCGGUUCUGACGUGCAAAUCGAUCGUCAAAUUUGGGUAUAGGGGCG